rnacentral:misc_RNA from 1 species
GUAAUUAUUGCCUUUCGGCGGAUAAACAUUCAGUUACUUUAAAUAAGAGUUUAUAAGACUUUCAAAGGCUAGGCCUCUCAAGCCAGACCUCCGAAAUCAAAAAAAUUAGGUGCACAUGUGAAAGUGGAUUAAAGAGAGAGCAAGCACAUGCAGCCACAAGACUGCCAGCAUCAAACCCCCCACUUAAUUUCGAUAAUGAUCCUUCCGCAGGUUCACCUACGGAAA